rnacentral:sRNA from 1 species
UGCUAGCCCCGGGAGGAGCGGCAUCCUUUGUUGUCUCGUAAAAAAACGAGACAGCAAAGAUAUAGCGGAUCACGGGACGAUGU